rnacentral:lncRNA from 1 species
AGAACUUCCGCAAACAUUUAGGGGGAUGGCAUCCACAUCUGCCAGGAGUGGGGACAAAAAGGACAUCAGGUCAUCUCAAGCUGCCGCCUCCUUAGGUGGAGGGCAGAAACUCUCAUUAUCCCGCUCUGAAGAAUUCCUGUCCCGAAUCAGCACAGAACUUACAGAUGAAGCACUGUUUAUUGCUCGCUCCCAUUUGAGUAUACUGCCCAAUAAGGAAAAGAAUACAAAAGACCAAGGGACUCAGAUAUCUAGACCUGUGUUCUUCACCAAGACCCAAGGCACUGACACCCGGUGAGUGAGGCUCUGUCCUUCUCCCAGGACAGAGGAGCCUGUGGGGAGAGAGCAAGGGUUGACAGCAUCCCAGCAGGCUCUGACAAAAAUCGAACCCGAACCAAGGCACACCUUCUGCCAUCUCCUCGUGAAAAGGGACCACUCCCCAACAGCCUGACAACGGGAGGAUGAGCGCAGUCCUCCCUAGUACCGCUCUCUCUUGGCUUCUUGCCUUCCCCCACUAUGUCCCUCAAUGAAAACCUCAAAGCCCCUCUUUUGCAGCUGGCUAAGCCUCUCAUCUUGGGAGGAACUCCUGGUCAUAAGCAAUGCCACCUUUGAAACCAAGAAAAUCUGGAACUGUUGCAGGGCCCUCCACCCUCCCUGGGCAAACGCCACUGAGAAGAAAAGGUUUCAAUAAAGAACCAGGAUGCCCG